AAUGGGCGAAAGCCUGACGCAGCCAUGCCGCGUGGAUGAUGAAGGCCUUCGGGUCGUAAAGUCCUUUUCUGAGGGAAGAAAAGCGAGGUAGGAAAUGACCUCGCCCUGACGGUACCUCAGGAAUAAGCAACGGCAAACUCCGUGCCAGCAGCCGCGGUAAUACGGAGGUUGCAAGCGUUGUUCGGAUUUACUGGGCGUAAAGGGAGCGCAGGCGGCUAGGCCAGUCUGAAGUGGAAGCCCGGGGCUCAACCCCGGAAGGCUUUGGAUACUACCUAGCUUGAGUUCGUGAGAGGAGAGUGGAAUUCCAGGUGUAGCGGUGAAAUGCGUAGAUAUCUGGAGGAACAUCGAUGGCGAAAGCAACUCUCUGGCACGAUACUGACGCUGAGGCUCGAAAGCGUGGGGAGCGAACAGGAUU
rnacentral:rRNA from 1 species